CCUUUGUGUCAUCCUCCACAGCUCCAGGGAAGGCACUCAAAAGUGGGGGGCAGGAAAGUUCUCUUCUGAAGAUAACUUCUCCAAGAACCUGUGUAUUGGAUUUUAACUAAGACAAAAUGCUUGAAAUCAGAAGAUCAUGAAAAUGUGCUUUUGAAUGUGUGUAGUUUUCAGAGGAGAAAAGGAGAACGACUUUGGGAGAGCAUCAGAGAUGUCCACUUCUGCCUCCGUAAGAUAGAUAUUAAACGCUGUGUGGUGUAGAAAAUAUCUAUAGAAAUUGGACACUCAAGAGCCACAAAAAUAGACAAGAAAUCAAGAGCACAGAAUAUUUCCUUCAAUCGAUCCUCAGAACCCUGAAACGUCUCUUAACUCCAUCAAACACAGAGCACAGAGAAGGCCCACCUUGGCAGAUGGCUACAGAGGAUGUCAACAAUUUC